GAUGAACGCUGGCGGCGUGCUUAACACAUGCAAGUCGAACGAGCCUUCGGGCUAGUGGCGGACGGGUGAGUAACGCGUGGGAAUCUGCCCUCAGGAGGGGGAUAACGGCCGGAAACGGCCGCUAAUACCCCAUAUGCCGAGAGGUGAAAUGAAUUUCGCCUGAGGAUGAGCCCGCGUCUGAUUAGCUAGUUGGUGUGGUAAUGGCGCACCAAGGCGACGAUCAGUAGCUGGUCUGAGAGGAUGAUCAGCCACACUGGGACUGAGACACGGCCCAGACUCCUACGGGAGGCAGCAGUGGGGAAUUUUCCGCAAUGGGCGAAAGCCUGACGGAGCAACGCCGCGUGAGGGAUGAAGGCCUCUGGGCUGUAAACCUCUUUUCUCAAGGAAGAAGACAUGACGGUACUUGAGGAAUAAGCCACGGCUAAUUCCGUGCCAGCAGCCGCGGUAAUACGGGAGUGGCAAGCGUUAUCCGGAAUUAUUGGGCGUAAAGCGUCCGCAGGCGGCUUUGUAAGUCUGUCGUUAAAGCGUGGAGCUUAACUCCAUUUGAGCGAUGGAAACUACAAGGCUUGAGUGUGGUAGGGGCAGAGGGAAUUCCCGGUGUAGCGGUGAAAUGCGUAGAUAUCGGGAAGAACACCAGUGGCGAAGGCGCUCUGCUGGGCCAUAACUGACGCUCAUGGACGAAAGCCAGGGGAGCGAAAGGGAUUAGAUACCCCUGUAGUCCUGGCCGUAAACGAUGAACACUAGGUGUCGGGGGAAUCGACCCCCUCGGUGUCGUAGCUAACGCGUUAAGUGUUCCGCCUGGGGAGUACGCACGCAAGUGUGAAACUCAAAGGAAUUGACGGGGGCCCGCACAAGCGGUGGAGUAUGUGGUUUAAUUCGAUGCAACGCGAAGAACCUUACCAGGGUUUGACAUCCUGCGAAUCCCUUGGAAACGAGGGAGUGCCUUCGGGAGCGCAGAGACAGGUGGUGCAUGGCUGUCGUCAGCUCGUGUCGUGAGAUGUUGGGUUAAGUCCCGCAACGAGCGCAACCCACGUCUUUAGUUGCCAGCAUUCAGUUGGGCACUCUAGAGAGACCGCCGGUGAUAAACCGGAGGAAGGUGUGGAUGACGUCAAGUCAUCAUGCCCCUUACAUCCUGGGCUACACACGUACUACAAUGCUACGGACAAAGGGUUGCAAGCUCGCGAGAGUUAGCUAAUCCCAUAAACCGUGGCUCAGUUCAGAUCGUAGGCUGCAACUCGCCUACGUGAAGGAGGAAUCGCUAGUAAUCGCAGGUCAGCAUACUGCGGUGAAUACGUUCCCGGGCCUUGUACACACCGCCCGUCACACCAUGGAAGUUGGCCAUGCCCGAAGUCGUUACUCCAACCCUUGUGGAGGAGGACGCCGAAGGUGGGGCUGAUGACUGGGGUGAAGUCGUAACAAGGUAGCCGUACCGGAAGGUGCGGCUGGAUCACCUCCU
rnacentral:rRNA from 1 species